GGUUUCAUAGUGUAGUGGUUAGUGUAGUGUCUGCUUUACAUGCAGAAAGUCCAGAGUUCAUUCCUCAGUGAAACCA
rnacentral:tRNA from 1 species